ensembl:lncRNA
CUCCAGCCAACGUGUCUUCACAGCUAAGGAAGAAUUCUUCACUUCUCUCAUUGACUUCUCAAACUCCAAACCACGGCCUGGUCCGCUUGGUCUGUUUCACAAGCGUUCCAGGAAGUCUCUGAUGUUGCACAUCUGGGUUCAGAAACUCUGUGAUUUUUAUGUUACUGUUUUUUUGCCAAAGUAUAUUUACGGUACUUCGAUACGAUUUAGUUUUUCAGUUUAUAUUUCUUUAUUUGUGUGUUUAAAAAAAACAAACAUCUGUUUUGUAUUUAUUACAAUUUUUUAUUUUUACUCCAAAGUAUUGUGUAUUAACUUGCCCGCGGUGUUGGGUAAUACUGAACGUUCAGACAUCGUGGGCGGCAGGUAGCCUCGUGGUUCGAUCGUUGGGCCACUUGUUGAAUAUAUUCAGUCGUUCUCCAAAUCCUGAAGCUACUUUACCUUGAUAUAUGCAUGCUGAAUUUGGAUUUACAUUUGGGAUUUUGUUUGUUGCACCAAAACUCCCUGUACUGUGUACUUUAUAACUGAGCUUCAUGUCCAGUUUUUCAUAACUCUCUCAUUGCCACAAAUUAUAUAAUAAUAAUAAUUAUAAGAUACUUUUAAAAAAAUAUACAAAAAAUUUAAAUGACUUUAAACUUUUAUUUAUACUCAUUAAUUUCCCAAUACUUCCAAACAUGUUGUUGAACUGUAUUGUAAAAUAUGAUAUAUAUAUAUAUAUUAUAUAUAUAUAAUAUAUAUUAUGUGUGUUACAGGUAAAAGGGCAUAAGAAUAGAGGUACUCAAUCAUUCAAAGACACCUACUGUGUGCCUGUGUGUGAAGAUCAGGAAUCUGCAACGUUUGGGUAUUUUUACCAACUAUCUUUACUGCAAUAUACAUAGUUUAAAAUAAUAAUAAUAAUAAUAAUAAUAAUAAUAAUAAUAAUAAUAAUAAUAAUAAUAAUAAUAAUAAUAAUCUUUCCUUGAAAUCUACAGGAACUUGAUAGACCAUUUUCUUAAAUAAUGAAACAUACAAACAUGUCACAGACAUUAUGUGAGUGUCAUUAACAUGUACAAAAGGGUUAUUUUGAUUUCGAUGGGAGACGUGUAAACAAUGUGAACAGCUCUGUGUAGGGAGUAGGGAGGUGUUUCACCCUAGGUCUCUGUGUAGGGAGUAGGGAGGUGUUUCACCCUAGGUCUCUGUGUAGGGAGUAGGGAGGUGUUUCACCCUAGGUCUCUGUGUAGGGACUAGGGAGGUGUUUCACCCUAGGUCUCUGUGUAGGGAGUAGGGAGGUGUUUCACCCUAGGUCUCUGUGUAGAGAAUAGGGAGCUGUUUCACCCUAGGUCUCUGUGUAGGGAGCUGUUUCACCCUCGGUCUCUGUGUAGGGAGCCGUUUCACCCUAGGUCUCUGUGUAGGGAGCCGUUUCACCCUAGGUCUCUGUGUAGGGAGCCGUUUCACCCUAGGUCUCUGUGUAGGGAGCCGUUUCACCCUAGGUCUCUGUGUAGGGAGCCGUUUCACCCUAGGUCUCUGUGUAGGGUGCUGUUUCACCCUAGGUCUCUGUGUAGGGAGUAGGGAGCCGUUUCACCCUAGGUCUCUGUGUAGGGAGCUGUUUCACCCUAGGUCUCUGUGUAGGGACUAGGGAGGUGUUUCACCCUCGGUCUCUGUGUAGGGAGUAGGGAGCCGUUUCACCCUAGGUCUCUGUUGAGGAAAACGUCAUUUGAAUCAUCAGUACGGUAAGGGGAUCUUGUUAUAGUGAAACAGACGGAAACGGCCCGGACAAAAUAAAUAACAACAACAAAACAUUGCAAAUGAAGUUUUUUGAAAUAAAUGAUCGUCUGGCUAAGCCAAACAUUCUACGACAUAAUGUUUUCCUCUUUUUCAUGAAUUCUAAAACUUUGUAUGUUUUAUUGUCAACAGGAAUGAGUAUUAAUGUAAUUAUUAUUAUUAUUAUGAUUAUUGUCAUGGCUAUUACUAAUAUUAGUGGCAGGCCACUGGGUAACAUUGUAUGUUGAUAUCCAAAUGAUAAUGAUGAAAUGUUUAUGAGUUUUAAAAACAAAUAAAAAGAUAAGACCACCAGGACUGUGUCAUUGUUCUGUUAAACACUGAGAUUAUUGAUAGUUCAUCUAAAUCAAUUAUUCAUCUAAUCAAUCAAUUAAAAUCAACAUGACACCUUUAUGUGGGGCGGCAGGUAGCCUAGUGGUUAGAGUGUUGGACUAGUAACUGAAAAGGUUGCAAGAUCGAAUCCCUGAGCUGACAAGGUAAAAAUCUGC